rnacentral:sRNA from 1 species
UUCCUUAAUCAUGGAUUUUUGUUGAGGUGAUAAAAUCGUGAUGUGACCAUCGUAUUAUCUCUCACAGCUCACAACGAUGAAAUCGCACCACGACCAAUGUCGGUAUGAUUAGACGGUUCGGAUGCGCCUAAUGAACAAACCUAAUUUGCCUCGCGCGUUCAGUCAUCACCUUCCUUCGUCUAAAACCUCACACAGAGACAGAGCUCCCCCAAAACCCUAAACGCCCAAAGUAUUAAUCACGAAGUUACGGAGCUGAAAUUGCAAACGCUAUCAUGGCUCACUUCAAAAAUAAGAAGGUGUUUGUGAAUUUGGUUUCGACGAAGCAUAUGGACCAUAUCACAGGGGAUAAAAUCCCAAAGAGCUUUGUUUUCCAGACGCAAGUUGCCUGGUCCUCUGAAUCAGCUUCAAGAUGAUUUGAGAAAACUGAUGCUUCCUUACACUGCCCUUAAGCUUAAGGAGAAGAGGCAGAACAAUCUUAGAAACAUUUUGGUUGUGGUUGGGCCUAUGGGGGUUACACAUUUCCUCAUGUUGUCAAAAACUCCAACUGCGCCAUACCUUAGGGUUGCGAGGGCACCUCAAGGCUCAACGAUAUUUUCAUAAGAUAUGCAAAGGGUUCCAUUUCUAUUGUCUUUGUGGGUUUUUAGGGGUGCAGAUCUUGAUUGACAAGGAAGAAUAGAAAUGGAUAUAACAACAGUGAGACCAAAUGGGAGAUCCAAUAAAAAAAAAAAACAGCAAUGGAUAAACCGAGGCCUAUAGAUUCCAAUUGCCUUACAACCGCCGCCAGAGAGGUCGGAUUGUCCAAAGCGCUGCCUCUUCCUCCAGCAACACCGUUGUGUCAGAUGUUAAGCUGCAGCUCCAGGAGGAGGACCACAGCAAUGGCUUCAAUCCCAUUUCCACUUUUGCUUCAGUGUGGUUCGAAUUUGCCAGGAAUGUGUCCGGUGAAUGGGAUGGCCAUGGAGCAGACUUUACAAGGGAAGGGUGCCCAAUAAAACUUCCCGAGAAUGUUGUACCUGCAGCUUACAGGGAGUGGGAGGUUAAGGUUUUCGAUUGGCAGACUCAAUGCCCCACUCUUGCUAACCCAGAUGAGCACAUUCUUUUAUACAAGAAUAUAGAGCUACUUCCUGCUGUUGGAUGUGAAGCUAAUGCUGCCACUCGAUGACUCCAGAGAUUGUUGAUGAUCCAUUCCAAACUAUGUGAGUUUUCAAGAAGAGCUAGCCAAUUUAACAUGAGCGGAUAUGAGGGAAUCUGAUUUUAGUGGUUCUACUUUCAAUGGUGCAUACAUGGAGAAAGCUGUCACGUAUAAGGCAAACUUUGAGGAUCAACUUGGGAAAGAACAGAGGAGAGCACAAGUAUUAUCAAUUUAUUUGCUAUAGAGUUUGUUAGGGAGAAAGUUCAUGAAUGAAAGAAAUCUAAUGGAGAGAUAAAAGUUAGGAUCUGCAGAGAUUAAAAAGUAAAAAAGGGCGAAGGAAAGCGAUGUUGACUCACGAAAGAUGGUUCAAAUCUCUGUUGGAGAUUGCUAGGGGGCUGAUUCUUUCUCGAAUUUGUGUGCACAAAAAAUGGUUUAGUAUAUAUGUGAAGGGGAUGAGAGAAGGCAGAUAUGCAAAUGUUGUAUCAGAGAUAAUUCCUUUACAGAGUUCGGUGCUUACGUUUGUAGCUUUAAGAUCGGUGGGGAUGUUUCAUAACAUUUAAGGAUCCUCAAUUCCAAUGUGUUUCAUAACAAUGAAGGAUCCCCGAUUCUACUAUCAGUGUGGAUGUUUCAUAACAUUGAAGGAUCCCAUAUUUCAGUGUGGAUGUUUCAUUGUACAAUGUGUUUAUAUGUCAUCUCAUUUGAAUGUACAUAAAAGCAAAAUUGCUUAUCUUAUCGAUUUCAUUUACUCAUGUAUCCUGUAUUUGUUCAUAAUUGUGUUGAAUUUAUUCAACUUAAAUGUGUUUUAUUCAUCUGAUUACGCCUGAAACAGUUGGUUCUCGCAG